AAAUUGAAGAGUUUGAUCAUGGCUCAGAUUGAACGCUGGCGGCAGGCCUAACACAUGCAAGUCGAGCGGAAACGAGUUGUCAGAACCUUCGGGGGACGAUAACGGCGUCGAGCGGCGGACGGGUGAGUAAUGCCUAGGAAAUUGCCCUGAUGUGGGGGAUAACCAUUGGAAACGAUGGCUAAUACCGCAUGAUGCCUACGGGCC
rnacentral:rRNA from 1 species